GACAGAGGGUGCAAACGUUGUUCGGAAUUACUGGGCGUAAAGCGCGUGUAGGCGGCUAAGUAAGUCGGGCGUGAAAUCCCACGGCUCAACCGUGGAAGUGCACUCGAAACUGCAUAGCUAGAGUCCUGGAGAGGAAGGUGGAAUGCUUGGUGUAGAGGUGAAAUUCGUAGAUAUCAAGCGGAACACCGGUGGCGAAGGCGGGUCUCUGGGCAAUUCCUGACGCUGAGGCGCGAAAGCGUGGGGAGCAAACGGG
rnacentral:rRNA from 1 species